GGGGCUGUAGCUCAGUUGGGAGAGCGCUUGCGUGGCACGCAAGAGGUCAGGGGUUCAAAUCCCCUCAGCUCCACCA
rnacentral:tRNA from 1 species